rnacentral:rRNA from 1 species
UACGUAGGGGGCAAGCGUUGUCCGGAAUUAUUGGGCGUAAAGCGCGCGUAGGCGGUCUUAUAAGUCAGUGGUGAAAUCCUAUCGCUUAACGAUAGACGUGCCAUUGAUACUGUAGGACUUGAGUACAGAUGCCGUUGGCGGAAUGUGUCAUGUAGCGGUGAAAUGCAUAGAUAUGACACAGAACACCGAUUGCGAAGGCAGCUGACGAAACUGUAACUGACGCUGAGGCUCGAAAGCGUGGGGAUCAAACAGG